rnacentral:rRNA from 1 species
GAUGAACGCUGGCGGCGUGCCUAAUACAUGCAAGUCGAGCGAACAGACGAGGAGCUUGCUCCUCUGACGUUAGCGGCGAACGGGUGAGUAACACGUGGAUAACCUACCUAUAAUACUGGGAUAACUUCGGGAAACCGGAGCUAAUACCGGAUAAUAUAUUGAACCGCAUGGUUCAAUAGUGAAAGACGGUGUUGCUGUCACUUAUAGAUGGAUCCCCGCCGCAUUAGCUAGUUGGUAAGGUAACGGCUUACCAAGGCGACGAUGCGUAGCCGACCUGAGAGGGUGAUCGGCCACACUGGAACUGAGACACGGUCCAGACUCCUACGGGAGGCAGCAGUAGGGAAUCUUCCGCAAUGGGCGAAAGCCUGACGGAGCAACGCCGCGUGAGUGAUGAAGGUCUUCGGAUCGUAAAACUCUGUUAUUAGAGAAGAACAACUGUGUGAGUAACUAUGCACGUCUUGACGGUACCUAAUCAGAAAGCCACGGCUAACUACGUG